UUCGCCCUUAGAGUUUGAUCCUGGCUCAGGACGAACGCUGGCGGCGUGCCUAACACAUGCAAGUCGAGCGGAGACAGUGAGUAGCUUGCUAUGAGCUGUUUUAGCGGCGGACGGGUGAGUAACGCGUGAGCAACCUUUCCCAGACAGGGGAAUAACACACCGAAAGGUGUACUAAUACCGCAUAAGACCACGGGAUCACAUGGUUCUGAGGUAAAAGAUUUAUCGGUUUGGGGUGGGCUCGCGUCCGAUUAGGUAGUUGGUGAGGUAACGGCCCACCAAGCCGACGAUCGGUAGCCGACCUGAGAGGGUGAUCGGCCACAUUGGGACUGAGACACGGCCCAAACUCCUACGGGAGGUAGCAGUGGGGAAUAUUGGGCAAUGGGGGGAACCCUGACCCAGCAACGCCGCGUGGAGGAAGAAGGUUUUCGGAUCGUAAACUCCUGUCCUUGGAGACGAGUAGAAGACGGUAUCCAAGGAGGAAGCCCCGGCUAACUACGUGCCAGCAGCCGCGGUAAUACGUAGGGGGCAAGCGUUGUCCGGAAUAAUUGGGCGUAAAGGGCGCGUAGGCGGCUCGGUAAGUCUGGAGUGAAAGUCCUGCUUUUAAGGUGGGAAUUGCUUUGGAUACUGUCGGGCUUGAGUGCAGGAGAGGUUAGUGGAAUUCCCAGUGUAGCGGUGAAAUGCGUAGAUAUUGGAAGGAACAUCGGUGGCGAAGGCGAUCUGCUGGGCUCUAACUGACGCUGAGGCACGAAAGCAUGGGGAGCAAACAGGAUUAGAUACCCUGGUAGUCCAUGCCGUAAACGAUGAUUACUAGGUGUGGGGGGACUGACCCCUUCCGUGCCGGAGUUAACACAAUAAGUAAUCCACCUGGGAAGUACGAUCGCAAGGUUGAAACUCAAAGGAAUUGACGGGGGCCCGCACAAGCAGUGGAGUAUGUGGUUUAAUUCGAAGAUACGCGAAGAACCUUACCAGGUCUUGACAUCCGACUAACGAAGUAGAGAUACAUUAGGUGCCCUUCGGGGAAAGUCGAGACAGGUGGUGCAUGGUUGUCGUCAGCUCGUGUCGUGAGAUGUUGGGUUAAAUCCCGCAACGAGCGCAACCCCUACGGUUAGUUGCUACGCAAGAGCACUCUAACAGGACUGCCGUUGACAAAACGGAGGAAGGUGGGGAUGACGUCAAAUCGUCAUGCCCCUUAUGACCUGGGCUACACACGUACUACAAUGGGCGCAAACAGAGGGAUACAAUGGAGCGAUCCGGAGUCAAACCCUAAAAGCGGUCCCAGUUCAGAUUGCAGGCUGCAACUCGCCUGUAUGAAGUCGGAAUUGCUAGUAAUCGCGGAUCAGCAUGCCGCGGUGAAUACGUUCCCGGGCUUUGCACUCACCGCCCGUCA
rnacentral:rRNA from 1 species